rnacentral:rRNA from 1 species
AUUGAACGCUGGCGGCAGGCCUAACACAUGCAAGUCGAACGGUAACAGGAAGCAGCUUGCUGCUUCGCUGACGAGUGGCGGACGGGGGAGUAAUGUCUGGGAAACUGCCUGAUGGAGGGGGAUAACUACUGGAAACGGUAGCUAAUACCGCAUAACGUCGCAAGACCAAAGAGGGGGACCGUCGGGCCUCUUGCCAUCGGCUGUGCCCAGAUGGGAUUAGCUAGUAGGUGGGGUAACGGCUCACCUAGGCGACGAUCCAUAGCUGGUCUGAGAGGAUGACCAGCCACACUGGAACUGAGGCACGGUCCAGGCUCCUACGGGAGGCAGCAGUGGGGAAUAUUGCACAAUGGGCGCAAGCCUGAUGCAGCCAUGCCGCGUGUAUGAAGAAGGCCUUCGGGUUGUAAAGUACUUUCAGCGGGGAGGAAGGGAGUAAAGUUAAUACCUUUGCUCAUUGACGUUACCCGCAGAAGAAGCACCGGCUAACUCCGUGCCAGCAGCCGCCGUAA